GAUGAAGAACGUAGCAAAAUGCGAUAAGUAAUGUGAAUUGCAGAAUUCAGUGAAUCAUCGAAUCUUUGAACGCACCUUGCGCCCUUUGGCCAUUCCGAAGGGCAUGCCUGUUUGAGUAUCAUGAACACCUCAACUCUCAUGGCUUGCCAUGAUGAGCUUGGACUUUGGGGGUCUUGCUGGCCUGUGGUCGGCUCCUCUCAAAUGAAUCAGCUUGCCAGUGUUUGGUGGCAUCACAAGUGUGAUAACUAUCUGCGCUCGUGGUUUCCAUCAGAUAACCUCCAGUGAUGGAGGUUCGCUGGAGCUCAUAAAUGUCUCUCCUAAGCGAGGACAGCUCUUUUAAUGUUUGAUCUCAAAUCAGGUAGGACUACCCGCUGAACUUAAGCAUAUCAAUAAGCGAAGGA
rnacentral:misc_RNA from 1 species